GCAAUUGUCUGGUGAUUUUUAGUUUUUUGACCUACCUCACUUAACUAGAUAGAUCGAGAAAUAUUAAAUUACUAUUACUAUUAUUCAGUUUGAAAAAUGCCUUCCUCUAAGGUAAAAGGUUGCGAAGUCGAUUGGGGAAAAAUAAUGUGAAAAUGAAUUCUUUCCCAAAAGAAUCUGAACGACGGAAAGUGUGGAUUAAAAAUAUAGGGUUAAAACAAGAUCCAAACAAAUAUGCUGUUGUUUGUGAAGAACACUACUUCUGACAUGUGGAAAAAAGUUAGACAAGAUGGCAGCAGAAAAUUAAAAUGCAAUGGCUGUACCAACAAUACUUAGAGAACAAAGCGAAAGUAUUUAAUUAUUUAUAUUGGUUUUUUGUUUAUUCACUAAUUUAACACCUAUAGAUAUUUGUAUAACAAGAGAGUGAAGUGCACCUUUUCCUCCCAAGAAUAAAGUUUACUAUAGUAUUUUUACUACAAAAACGUUAUUACCUAGGUCAAAAUUUUUGAAGUAAGAGAACUGUCAAAACAUUAGAAUGUGACUUUUCAUUAUUGCUGUGUUUAUAAUAAACAUAGCAAUAAAGAAAAGUCACAUUCUAAUGUUUUGACAGUUUUCUUAUGUCAAAAAUUUUGACCUACGUAAUAACGUUUUUGUAGUAAAAAUACUAUAGUUUACUACAGUAAUCAUUCAAGGGAGGAAAAGGCACUUCUCCCAUGUUAUACAUUUUUCCACCUCCCUCAAAUAAGUCAUUUUUUCAUUUUUAAAAUAUUUAUAUAACUGUUGAUUGAAUACAUGAAUCAUAAUUGAAUACAGGAAUUUGUGUAUUCAAUCAACAAUAGAACUAACAAAAUUUAUUAGAGAACUAAAACUAACAAGUAGGUACAGUAUAACUAUCAAAUUAUUAAUGAAAAAUUUUUAAAUCAAAAUAAAAAUUUACUGUUUUUACCAUUUUGCAACAUCUAUAAAUAAAAUUUAAAAUGUAUGGAUACUUACCUAAUAGAAAAUAGAGUAAUAGUAUAGGGUGUCAAUAAGUUAUUUCAUCUAUGCUAUGACAUAGUAUAACGUCAACAUUACUUUUACUUUUACUCCCUAGGGAUUAAAAGUACUUCGUUUCCCUAGGGAGAAAAAAAUAUGACUAUGCUCCCUACAAUGAGGCCAGGAAAUGUAUACUUUGGAUAGAGGUAGGUGGGAAAAUCUGUUUUAUUCAGUUAUUGUGAUUUGUUUCUUACAGACAAUCGGUUUGUUCUAGCACGAGUUUCAAACGGUCUGAAAGCAUUAGCGAAUAGUGGACCAGCGCGAGUAGAGGGGAUAGCACUCGCAACUGUAUUAUGUUCUCUCACUGAACAACUGUUUGCUGACUAGUUCGACUGUUUGCUAGAACAAACCUAUUAUUCAAACAAAAUGUCCUCUACGUCAGACUGAUCAGAAUUUUAAAAAUGUGUCAUAUCAAUCAAAUCAAAAAAUUUCAAAAAUUGUUCCUGUAACCAUUUUUAGUGGAAAUAAUAACAGUACUUAUAUUGGAUCAGAGAGCCACCCAAUUCAUUGUUAAAGUAUGAUAAACUAAAAGUUAAACAAUUAGGCAUGCACUUCAUAUUAUAUUUAAUGAAAUAUAACCCACUGGUACUCAUACAAACUUGACGGCAAGCAAAUUCAACAAAUUUUUCCUCAUUUAUUAGUUUUUCACUACCGUUAAGUUUGGAAACAAGCGCUGUUGCCAAAUAAAAACAUAUACAGUCGGAAAAAUGAAAGAAUACCCAUGAACGAUCACAAUCACAUAUUUUGUAUUUGCUGCUGUUUUUUCAUAAAUAAUAAAUGAGAGAGAUAGAUUAUUAAUAAUCUGAAUAAUAUGUGAUUGCUGUGAUCGUUCAUGGGUAUUCUUUCAUUUUUUCGACGGUAUGUAUUUACCACAGCAACUACAGGUGACACUGUUUCUCUUUGUCUUUAAGAGUGUGAAACAAAGAUAACUACAGUGGGAAAAAUAAAGAAUACCCAUGAACGAUCACAUCGAUCACUUAUUUUGUGUUUCCUAUCUUUUUCUAUAACCAGUGCUGUUUUUGUAACAAUAUAAGGUUCCGGUACACAAUGGUUCCGGUACGCAAUGUUCCUGGGGGUCUGGGGAGUGUUCAUAGGGGGGUUCACCCCCGGGAAAACUUUUUAAAUUUAUCAUCAAUAAGGGCGUUUUAAAGCUAUUUGGGAGCAAGGGAAGAAUUCAGGAAUUUGUCUAUAAUUUUGUUGAUUUUUUAAAUUUUUUGUACCAAGAGGUGCCGGUACGGCGUACCGGCGCGUACCGUCACAAAAACAGCACUGUCUAUAACAAACGUUUAUUAUUUAUAGAAAAAGACAACAAACAUAAAUUAAGUGAUUGAUGUGAUCGUUCAUGGGUAUUCCUUCAUUUUUCCAACUGUAUCUGUAAUAUACGCUGAGCUCGUAGGUAGAGGGGAUAAUUAAAAAAUCACGAGAGCCAGUAGUGACAAGUCUGUAAACCUUUACUGGAAAUUUGACAUAAAUGUCAAAGUGAAUAAUUUAAAAUUGAAAUUAAAAACAUUAAUUAGAAAAAAUAUUAGUUGGUCAAAGCUGUGGUAUAUAUUUUUAUCUUAAGUAUACUUACGGUUUAAAUACUGAAUUAAGUUUUUUUACUUGUUUUUUAAACUGUAUACCAAUAUCUAUUAAAAGUCUUGAUUUUAACCAAUUUAAGAGACAAAUUAAAAAUUAUCUUCUGAUGGGUGCUUUCUACUCAUUUGAGGAGUACUUCAGAUCUAAAUUUUGUUUUGUCCUGUAAUUUAAUUAGUGUUUAGUUUUUAAAUUUUAGUAAUAGGUUUUUUUUUACUGAAGUACUGUCAACUUUUAAUGUAAUUUUAGACAGUUUUAAUUAUUGCUGACCUGUAAAAGUACAUUUGUACAUUAUUACCAAUAAAUACUCUACUCUACUCUACUUUAAUAUUUUGUAAUAUCUAAUUAUAAUUAGAUAUAAAUCAUCUAAGCGCCAUCUACACGAUAAUUGUGAAUGUAUCUGAAGUAAUAAAUUAAUAUUUCAUUAAGAGAACGUUAAAACAGUUAGCAAAAUUUUUAAAAAAUCGAUUACAAUUUAAUUACUUUUUGCGUUGUAAAUAUUAAGCGAUAAAAUUAAAUAAUAAAUUUAAAAAUUACUGGUGAAAGUUAAAUUAGUAAUCCACUAGGAGCGACACCAGCGAAGCUCAGAGCGUAUAAGUGGGUGCGUUUGGACAACCAUAGCGGCUGACUGUCAGCAGAAAUCGGCUGAGUGGUUGUAUCCAGCUGUGAUAGGGAAAGCUUAGUAAAUCUCUCAGCGGCUGACUUCCAGCGGUGACGUCUGACAGCUACUGCUGGCUCAGCUGUUCAGCCGCUGUGGUCAUCCGAAUGCACCCAGUGUCAGUCAUGUUUUCCUAUAGUAUAAAAGGCUUAGGUAGAAGGUUAUGUAAGAUUUUUGUUUGUUUAUUUUUUCUUCUUCUUUUGUGGCCUUUGGAAGCUGUGCCCAUUUGGCCAGCAACAUUUCUUAAAAUUAAUGCCUAACUAAACCUACCAUACAAGAAAACCAUUACGAACCUAAACGACCAAUCAAGGAUACAGAAGGGAAAGUAAAGUUAUCUAAAAAAUAAACUGUUGUUAAAAUAUAAACUAAAUAAAUAAAAUAUAAAUUGAAAACAAUAAUUUGACAUUAUAAAUGUAACCUCCAAUAUUAUGACAGACGUCAGUUACCAUGACAUCAUAUAUUAUACUCGUCACUAAUUCUAGCCAAUGAAAUGCUUGCUGUAAUAGGAAUGGCAUAUCAAAAAAAUCUGACUAUUCUCUAUAUAUUUUUUCAAAUUUAGAAUAUGGCAACAAGGAGAAAGUUAUGUGCAUUCCUCAUUGUUUGACUUUUCCUAUAUCUUUAGUAUCAGGUCACCGUACAAUACAAAUACUUCCUGCAAUGAUUGGAAGUAAUGCAGAACAAGAAUUGAAUUUGGAAUCGCUGAGAAAAAGGAUUGGUGUACAAAAUAAGAAAGUAUAUAAAGGACAACAAACAUCUUCCAUAAGCGAUCAAAAUUGUAUAACUGAAAUUCAGGAAAUAGAUUCUGCUCCACCUUUAG
rnacentral:lncRNA from 1 species